rnacentral:rRNA from 1 species
UACGUAGGGUGCGAGCGUUAAUCGGAAUUACUGGGCGUAAAGCGUGCGCAGGCGGUUAUAUAAGACAGAUGUGAAAUCCCCGGGCUCAACCUGGGACCUGCAUUUGUGACUGUAUAGCUAGAGUACGGUAGAGGGGGAUGGAAUUCCGCGUGUAGCAGUGAAAUGCGUAGAUAUGCGGAGGAACACCGAUGGCGAAGGCAAUCCCCUGGACCUGUACUGACGCUCAUGCACGAAAGCGUGGGGAGCAAACAGGAUUAGAUACCCUGGUAGUCCACGCCCUAAACGAUGUCAACUGGUUGUUGGGUCUUCACUGACUCAGUAACGAAGCUAACGCGUGAAGUUGACCGCCUGGGGAGUACGGCCGCAAGGUUG